AAGUAUUUUCCGAUCUCCUUAAUUUGAUCUCUAAUCAAUCUUUCAAUUGAAUUAGCCAAAAAUCCCCUAUUUCUAGGGUUCAUAUCUAUCACCUAAUCCACAAAAAAAAAAAAAUGCUCAAAAGUUUCAGAAAGAUCCAUUACUUAGGACACUGUUCACACGAUUUUUUCUAAAAUCAGCUUCCUUUCUGAACACCCUUUUGAGUUCUGAGCAAAACCCAGA
rnacentral:misc_RNA from 1 species